AGCGAACGCUAGCGGCAGGCUUAACACAUGCAAGUCGAGCGCCAGGUUUCGGCCUGGAGCGGCGAACGGGUGAGUAACACGUAGGUCACGUACCCUAUGGUGGGGAAUACCCCGGGGGAACUCGGAUCAAUGCCCCAUAUGUCCGAAAGGAUGAAAGCGCUUCGGCGCGCCAGAGGAUCGGCCUGCGGCCCAUUAUUUAAUCCUAGUUGGUGAGGUAACGGCUCACCAAGGGUACGAUGGGUAGCUGGUCUGAGAGGACGAUCAGCCACACUGGAACUGAGACACGGUCCAGACUCCUACGGGAGGCAGCAGUGGGGAAUAUUGGACAAUGGGCGAAAGCCUGAUCCAGCCAUGCCGCGUGAGUGAUGAAGGCCUUCGGGUUGUAAAGCUCUGUCGUGGGGGAAGAAGUUCUGACGGUACCCCACAAGAAAGCACCGGCUAACUCCGUGCCAGCAGCCGCCGUAAGAC
rnacentral:rRNA from 1 species